rnacentral:rRNA from 1 species
AGGACGAACGCUGGCGGCGUGCUUAACACAUGCAAGUCGAGCGGUAAGGCCUCUUCGGGGGUACACGAGCGGCGAACGGGUGAGUAACACGUGGGUGACCUGCCCUCAGCUCUGGGAUAAGCCUGGGAAACUGGGUCUAAUACUGGAUAUGACUGCGCAUCGCAUGGUGUGUGGUGGAAAGUUUUUUCGGCUGGGGAUGGGCCCGCGGCCUAUCAGCUUGUUGGUGGGGUGAUGGCCUACCAAGGCGACGACGGGUA